CCUUUCCAGCCAGAAUCUCAUCAGGGAAGCACUUGGAUCAAGUUCUACUAAGUGUAAAGUUAAGAAAGUUUUAAAAAAUCCAAAGAGCAGAAGUUCAAAAAGAUCCAAAAAGAAACAACGGGUGAGACAUAAUCGCUGCCAUCAGAAUGUAGCUGGGAAGCGGUAUCACAUACAAAAGAAAUGUUAAUAGAAAAACAGGGACGUGGAAAGGCUCCUCGGGUGCCACAAGCAGCAAACAGGUCAGAAGGGGCCCCUCGUGGCUGGAAUGUGCUUCAAGUGUUUGUAAUGUCCACCAGCUUCGGUGCGGCUCUCCACUGUCUUGUGAACUUUGGCCAAAGGCUCUGAUUAUGUCCUGACUUUGUCCGAUGUGACCUCAGUUUACUGAGGCUUGGAACUCAACUCCUUGCAACAUCUCCUACCUCUUCAAGCACUUCUGGAAGGUGGUGG
rnacentral:lncRNA from 1 species